GACGAACGCUGUCGGCGUGCUUAACACAUGCAAGUCGAACGGAAAGGCCCUGCUUUUGUGGGGUGCUCGAGUGGCGAACGGGUGAGUAACACGUGAGUAACCUGCCCUUGACUUUGGGAUAACUUCAGGAAACUGGGGCUAAUACCGGAUAGGAGCUCCUGCUGCAUGGUGGGGGUUGGAAAGUUUCGGCGGUUGGGGAUGGACUCGCGGCUUAUCAGCUUGUUGGUGGGGUAGUGGCUUACCAAGGCUUUGACGGGUAGCCGGCCUGAGAGGGUGACCGGCCACAUUGGGACUGAGAUACGGCCCAGACUCCUACGGGAGGCAGCAGUGGGGAAUAUUGCACAAUGGGCGGAAGCCUGAUGCAGCAACGCCGCGUGCGGGAUGACGGCCUUCGGGUUGUAAACCGCUUUCGCCUGUGACGAAGCGUGAGUGACGGUAAUGGGUAAAGAAGCACCGGCUAACUACGUGCCAGCAGCCGCGGUGAUACGUAGGGUGCGAGCGUUGUCCGGAUUUAUUGGGCGUAAAGGGCUCGUAGGUGGUUGAUCGCGUCGGAAGUGUAAUCUUGGGGCUUAACCCUGAGCGUGCUUUCGAUACGGGUUGACUUGAGGAAGGUAGGGGAGAAUGGAAUUCCUGGUGGAGCGGUGGAAUGCGCAGAUAUCAGGAGGAACACCAGUGGCGAAGGCGGUUCUCUGGGCCUUUCCUGACGCUGAGGAGCGAAAGCGUGGGGAGCGAACAGGCUUAGAUACCCUGGUAGUCCACGCUGUAAACGGUGGGUACUAGGUGUGGGGUCCAUUCCACGGGUUCCGUGCCGUAGCUAACGCUUUAAGUACCCCGCCUGGGGAGUACGGCCGCAAGGCUAAAACUCAAAGGAAUUGACGGGGCCCCGCACAAGCGGCGGAGCAUGCGGAUUAAUUCGAUGCAACGCGUAGAACCUUACCUGGGUUUGACAUGGAUCGGGAGUGCUCAGAGAUGGGUGUGCCUCUUUUGGGGUCGGUUCACAGGUGGUGCAUGCCUGUCGUCAGCUCGUGUCGUGAGAUGUUGGGUUAAGUCCCGCAACGAGCGCAACCCUUGUUCACUGUUGCCAGCACGUUAUGGUGGGGACUCAGUGGAGACCGCCGGGGUCAACUCGGAGGAAGGUGGGGAUGACGUCAAGUCAUCAUGCCCCUUAUGUCCAGGGCUUCACGCAUGCUACAAUGGCUGGUACAGAGAGUGGCGAGCCUGUGAGGGUGAGCGAAUCUCGGAAAGCCGGUCUCAGUUCGGAUCGGGGUCUGCAACUCGACCUCAUGAAGUCGGAGUCGCUAGUAAUCGCAGAUCAGCAACGCUGCGGUGAAUACGUUCCCGGG
rnacentral:rRNA from 1 species